CUCAUGUGCCUUCUGAGCUCUGCAGGCAGAGAGCAGCAAGUAGAUCAUUAAUUAGAAAAUGAAACAGCCAUAUGCUCCCUGUCUGCUACUUUCAAGAAAGGUCAGUUCUGCCAGAUGAUGGCUCAUUUAAGAGUAUCAUCCAUUCUGCACAAGGUUUUCUUAGUCUUGUAUUUUGAUCUCAAAAGAAACUAUACAUAGUUCUUCUUCUUCUUUGUCAUCCAAUUGUGUGCAUCAAGUGUCCAGCAAUCUUAGCCAAAAAAGAAUUUUGCUGCAUUGAGAAGAAGCCACAGGUGGAAUAAGUCCAGAGUAUACAUAUCAUAUCUUUAGCAUCCAUUUCCAUCUCCAGAUCCACAACAGACCAAGAUUCCUGACAUGAGAAGUUAAUUAACACAGACCAAGCUUAUGCACCAAAUCUUAGUUCCUCAUCCUGGGUUGUCAAGUGCUGAUGAUAUUGGGCUGGCCUCCUAGAGAAAAUAAUUAAUCGGAUUAGGCUAAUUCAAGUUGAUUUAUUUUGUUCGAAUAGCUUAAACAAUGCGAGUCGAUUAGCACUAAUAAGUGAUGAAAGAUGAAGGAACACCUGAGAUGAUACUAUUCCAGCUUUCUCUUCUUGCUUGUGUUUCUCCUGUGAAUAUUAGAAAGAAAUGCCUAAAAGUUCAAAAUCUCAGAGGAAAUAUCUGAAAAGAAAGUGAUCAAGAGGAGAUAAAGAUGGAUGUGAUCAAGGUUGAUCCUCAAGUCCAAGUCAAGAUUU
rnacentral:lncRNA from 1 species